ensembl:lncRNA
CGGCCCCGGCCCAGCCCCGAGCCCGAGGAAGCCCCGGCGCGUCCCCCCCGCAGCCAUGGCAGGGCUGGUGGUGAGCGGAGCACAAGUGUCCUAUAUUAGUCAAGACUGUGAAGAAAUUCCAGAAUUCCUAGGAAGAAAAUAUGGACAUAUGGCAAAAAGGCUAGAUCUUAGCUUCAACUUGUUAAGGUGCUUCAGGACCCUCCCUGUGUGCCCACCUCCUUCCACAAUGACCUGUGACUUGAUUCUAAGUGACCUUGUCUGGACUUCAGGGCUUUUGAGGACUGUUGACCAAAUCUAGUGAAGGACUAGCUCUUGAUCUAUGAGACUGGCUGCAUUGAAGUUUCAAGAUGGAUGUUUCUGAAUAACGAUUUACUAGAAGUCUUAAUUUUAAAAUUACUCUGUUUUGCAUUUUAAUUAGAGCUGUUGAUAUAGUAGAUUUUAGAUGUUCUCCAUUUUGAUAGUGCUUACUACAGGUAGAAUUGUUAUUCAUAAAUGUAGGAUUUUUUCUCUCUUUAUUUUUUUUUAAAUUUGAUUCUAGCAAUUAGUUGAGCAGCACAAAAAAUGUCAAGCUGAUGUUUCCCCUCCCCUCCCCACCACCUAAUGUGGGGCUCUCAAAGUUUGUCUUUGGUAACUGUUUAUACCCAAGCUGCCUUCUUGCUGGUUUACGUGUUUAAUGUUGACUUCAGUUUUAAUUUUAAUUCUUGAGACGAGCAGCAAAGUGAAAUACUUCUAAUAGGUGCUAGUAAUUUUAUGUGUCUUUUGUGCCUUAGGGUUAUAAAAAACGAAGAAUGAGUAGCAUAUAGCUUCCUUUUAAUUCAAAUCUUUGGAUAGAAGUAGAUCUUCCUUUUUGAAAAAGCAUACUAAGAGAGAAGGUGGUUUGCUUUCUUAAAGCCUCCUUUAAAAAACAAACAAACAACAAAACAAAAACCAAACAAGUCUUUUCAAAGUUCUUUGGGAUUCAUUUUGCUAGACAUAAUUUUAGAAGAUUAUAGUCCAUGUAAUUUAGGAAGCCUUUGCUGCUUGUAUACGAAAGUUUAUGUGCCUAAAUUGAACAACUGUAGUUUUAAUAGUGGAAGCCUUGUUCUUCCAUUCCCAGCCUUCACUCAUUCUAACUAGAUAUUUAAAUUUCCAACCAAAAGCCGAUCUGCGGGUGGUGUUAUGUGAAGUGCCCGACAUACCUUUACAGGCACAGUUUUUAAUAGUGUGUUCUCAAUUUCAGUUUCCUUUGAGAAGCGGAAAGACAAGAGGCCUUGUUGAUAAACUGUAGAUGCCAAAAAUAAUUUUCAGCCCUUCAUACCAACUUUUAUAAACUGCUUCUGCGUGUUGUGCAGUGAUGGUUGACACCUAUCCACCUGCCAAAUCUGUCGUGAUCCUACAACACAGUAGGCAGUUUAUUCUCGUGUGCUAGUUAGCUGAACUUCCUAUCUGAUAGCGGAUGUAUCAGCAAGGUGUUGAUCCGGCUGAGACUAAAAAAACCAGUAAAAAUCUAAAUGCAUUGUAGACAUGGAACAACUUUUUUUUGCUUUCAGGGGGAUCAGGAUUUUCUCAUAUUUGUUCCCUUGUGGUUGAAUGGUAUAGAAUUAGAAAAAUAAAAACAGUAACAACAAAAAAGAUGUGG